rnacentral:tRNA from 1 species
GGGGUUGUGGCUCAGGGGUAGAUUGCCUGCUUAGCAUGCAUGAGUUGCUGGGUUUGAUCCCCCAGCACCA